CCUACGGGUGGCAGCAGUGAGGAAUAUUGGUCAAUGGGCGCGAGCCUGAACCAGCCAAGUCGCGUGACGGAUGACUGCCCUACGUGUUGUAACCUUCUUUUAUAAAGGAAUACAGUGAGGCACGUGUGCCUUUUUGUAUGUACUUUAUCAAUAAGGAUCGGCUAACUCCGUGCCAGCAGCCGCGGUAAUACGGAGGAUCCGAGCGUUAUCCGGAUUUAUUGGGUUUAAAGGGAGCGUAGAUGGGUUGUUAAGUCAGUUGUGAAAGUUUGGGGCUCAACCGUAAAAUUGCAAUUGAUACUGGCAGGCUUGAGUACAGUUGAGGUAGGCGGAAUUCGUGGUGUAGCGGUGAAAGGCGUAGAUAUCACGAAGAACUCCGAUUGCGAAGGCAGCUUACUAAACUGCAACUGACAUUGAUGCUCGAAAGUGUGGGUAGCAAACAGGAUUAGAUACCCUAGUAGUC
rnacentral:rRNA from 1 species